GAAACCAACAGGGAUUGCCUUAGUAACGGCGAGUGAAGCGGCAACAGCUCAAAUUUGAAAUCUGGCCCUCGGGUCCGAAUUGUAAUUUGUAGAGGAUGAUUUUGGUGCGGUAUCUUCCGAGUUCCUUGGAACAGGACGCCUUAGAGGGUGAGAGCCCCGUACGGUCGAAUGCCUAGCCUCUGUAAAUCUCCUUCGACGAGUCGAGUAGUUUGGGAAUGCUGCUCUAAAUGGGAGGUAAAUUUCUUCUAAAGCUAAAUAUUGGCCAGAGACCGAUAGCGCACAAGUAGAGUGAUCGAAAGAUGAAAAGCACUUUGAAAAGAGGGUUAAAUAGCACGUGAAAUUGUUGAAAGGGAAGGAUUUGUGACCAGACUUUUUCUGGGCGGAUCAUCCGGGGUUCUCUCCGGUGCACUUUGCCCAGUAAAGGCCAGCAUCGAUUUUCGGCGGCGGAUAAAAGCAGUGGGAAUGUGGCUCUCUACGGGGAGUGUUAUAGCCCAUUGUAUAAUACGCUGCUGGGGACCGAGGUACGCGCCUCUGCAAGGAUGCUGGCGAAAUGGUUAUAAAUCACCCGUCUUGAAACACGGGCCAAGGAGCCGAACAUUUAUGCGAGUGUUUGGGUGUUAAACCCUCACGCGUAAUGAAAGUGAACGGAGGUGAGAGCCCGUACGGGUGCAUCAUCGACCGAUCCUGAAGUUUUCGGAUGGAUUUGAGUAAGAGCAUAACUGUUCGGACCCGAAAGAUGGUGAACUAUGCGUGGAUAGGGUGAAGCCAGAGGAAACUCUGGUGGAGGCUCGCAGCGGUUCUGACGUGCAAAUCGAUCGUCAAAUCUGCGCAUGGGGGCGAAAGACUAAUCGAACCAUCUAGUAGCUGGUUACCG
rnacentral:rRNA from 1 species